GACAGAGGGUGCAAACGUUGUUCGGAAUUACUGGGCGUAAAGCGUGUGUAGGCGGCUUCGUAAGUCGGAUGUGAAAGCCCUGGGCUCAACCCAGGAAGUGCACUCGAUACUGCGGAGCUUGAGUCUCGGAGAGGUUGGUGGAAUUCUCGGUGUAGAGAUGAAAUUCGUAGAUAUCGAGAGGAACACCGGUGGCGAAGGCGGCCAACUGGACGAAGACUGACGCUGGAGACACGAAAGCGUGGGGAGCAAACAGG
rnacentral:rRNA from 1 species